rnacentral:lncRNA from 1 species
UAAAAUAUAACAAAAAAAAAUUGGACUUGGGCCUCUCUCAUUUGAGCCCACGGGUCCACAAAAACCAGGUUAUAAAUUCAGAGUUUCAGUGAAACAAAGGGAUGUCAUUCCUAUUACCCUGGCAGGAAAAAGAUAGUGAGAGAAGAGCUAACAGAGUUCAGAGCAACCUCCAAACCCUGAAGACAGCUCAUCUGCACAGAAUCACCCCUGCCUCACGUAAACCCUAAGAUUGUUUUGUAAACCUCACGGGUGCAACUCAAUUUCAAUCGAUCCUCCCCAAUCAGGUAUGCCCUAUUUCCACUACUUUAUACUUUCAAC